AUACUCUGAAAAUUACCAACAGCAUCAUCCAUUGUUGUUAGUAAGAUAAGUGUGCCAAAAUUAAAUGGUAUGCUUAGCUUAUUGCCCACUAAUCUUAUUUGUGGCUGAUAAAACCCGCGUGCCAAUAAAU